rnacentral:lncRNA from 1 species
GCAGGUUAAUGCAAUUUAUAUAUACAUUGUUACAAACAAAUACAUAAAGUUAACCCAAAAUGACAGAGAAAGUAAACGAGUAAAAAAAAAAAAAAGGAAGACUAGAGCUACUGGGGUCAGUGUCACCCGUUUCCUCUUACACAGUUCUAUUUAACGACGUCGUUUUAUCUCCAGAUACUCAAAUUUUCUCUUAAACCCUACUCCCAUUCCGAACAAAACAAUGGCUCUCUUCAGAGCUCGAAUUGCUUCUUCUUCUCUUCUCAGCAAUGUCAUCCACCGCUCUUUCUCUAUCAGUAAACUUCUCUAUAUUCAUUUUCAUCUCUCUCUAAAUCAAUACAAAAACUCUACAAUUUAACCCUUUUUUUUUCUUUUUUUUAUUACAAUUGACAGGUCCAUUUGAAGCAUUGGCGUCCAAAAUGAAACCGUCAAAGGAGCUGGAAUCUAUGAUGAGCCAAUUCAGUCUAGA